rnacentral:tRNA from 1 species
ACUCUUUUAGUUUAUAAUUAAAAUAUGGCCCUGAAGAGGCUAAGAAUAUUGGGAGUA